AGAGUUUGAUCCUGGCUCAGAACGAACGCUGGCGGCAGGCUUAACACAUGCAAGUCGAACGCACCGCAAGGUGAGUGGCAGACGGGUGAGUAACGCGUGGGAACGUGCCCUUCAGUUCGGGAUAACCCAGGGAAACUUGGGCUAAUACCGGAUACGUGCGAGAGCAGAAAGAUUCAUCGCUGAAGGAUCGGCCCGCGUCUGAUUAGCUAGUUGGUAGGGUAAUGGCCUACCAAGGCGACGAUCAGUAGCUGGUCUGAGAGGAUGAUCAGCCACAUUGGGACUGAGACACGGCCCAAACUCCUACGGGAGGCAGCAGUGGGGAAUAUUGGACAAUGGGCGCAAGCCUGAUCCAGCCAUGCCGCGUGAGUGAUGAAGGCCUUAGGGUUGUAAAGCUCUUUCGUCCGGGACGAUAAUGACGGUACCGGAAGAAGAAGCCCCGGCUAACUUCGUGCCAGCAGCCGCGGUAAUACGAAGGGGGCUAGCGUUGUUCGGAAUCACUGGGCGUAAAGGGCGCGUAGGCGGCCUGAUAAGUCGGGGGUGAAAGCCUGUGGCUCAACCACAGAAUUGCCUUCGAUACUGUCGGGCUUGAGACCGGAAGAGGUAAGUGGAACUGCGAGUGUAGAGGUGAAAUUCGUAGAUAUUCGCAAGAACACCAGUGGCGAAGGCGGCUUACUGGUCCGGUUCUGACGCUGAGGCGCGAAAGCGUGGGGAGCAAACAGGAUUAGAUACCCUUGUAGUCC
rnacentral:rRNA from 1 species